GACUCACUUUCCUGCAGCAUUUCUUCUUUCCACUCCUCAGCACUGGAUAUUGUAUUUAGGGCGCGUUUGGUUCGCAUUAUAAAAGAUUAUUAGGAAUAAAAAGAUAUCCAAAAAUUUUAUUUCUAUUCAUCUUAUUAUUAAGAAUAUAGCAUUUCUAUAUUUGGUUCGUACGGUCAUAUUAUUUAGUCAUGUUAUUUAAGAUUAUAAAAAAAAUAUAUAAUUUAUUUAUUUAUUUUUUAAUUAAUUUUAGAUAAUGCUACAAAAAUUUCAACAUCUUUUUAAAAAAAAAGGAGAAAGAACAUAGGUUAGAGAGAGAGAGCAUAAUUAAAGAAAUAGAAAGAGUCGAAGUUAGAGAGAAUGAGAGAGUUGAGAUUUUAGAAAAAGAACGAGAGAGAGAGAGCUUAGUUUAGAGAGAGAAAAAUAAUUGAAGUUGAGAGAAAAAGAUAAGUUUAGAGAGAGAUUAGAGUGUAAAGAAAAAUAAUACCAACUAGCCAGCGAGUAGAGAGAAAGAAAGAUAUUAGACAUAUUAUGAUUAUCACAAUCCAUUAAUAUGAGGAUACCCACCCUCUUUUAAGGGAAUGAGAUUAGUACUUUGGGAUGAAUCUCAUUCCCAAGUAAAUCUAAUAUUACCAACUAGAUUAUUUAGCGCGUUUAGCCAAACACAGCCAUAUUUUUUUUAUCCCUAUUGAAUUAUUAGGAAUCUUAAAAAGAUAGCGCGAACCAAACGCACCCUUAAGACAAUCUCCCUAGAAACGAAGAAACCCAUGAGAACGGAGAUAAAUUCUUUUUUUUUCAUAUUAAAAUAAAGGGAUAAUUGUCUAUAUACUCCUCAUACGUUUGAAAAUAUCCGAUUUACCCCUAUUUUUUUUUCUUUCUAAAAUACCUCUUAUAUGUUCCACUGUUAUUGCAAAAUAUCCCCACAAUUAUCUCUUGUUAAGUUAACUUGGAUUAAACUUGAGUUAAAUAUCUACCACAGUUAAAAAAAAUUAAAAUGUCAAUUUUUCCCUGAACUUAAGGGCAAAUAAGAAAUGUUGGUGACGGUAGAGAGGUAUAUUGGAAAAGACCAAAAGUCAAAAUACUUUUUGUGCCCCUAACUUAAUUUAAGGGCAAAUAAGAAAGUCAGUGAUGGUGGAAGGGUAUAUUUGAAAUGGUAAAAUAGUAAUUUUACAGAGAUAAUAGAGUUAAUUAACAGAUUUUAACUCUAGGGGUAUAUUAGAAAUAGGUUGGAACGUAGAAAGAGUAUUUUCAAUAUUAGCCUUCUAAGAGGGGUAAAUCGAAAAGUCGGAAACUUUUCAGGGAUAUAUAAGUAAUUGCCCCUAAAAUAAAAUUGAGGAUGUG
rnacentral:lncRNA from 1 species